rnacentral:lncRNA from 1 species
AUACAUGUAAAAUAACACUGUAUUGCAGGUGAUAUCAGCGCUCUGACUUCACUUUCUGAAGUGGGUUUUCCUGACUGGAGCACUGGUGUUUGGAUUGGAGUGAGUGUGUCUGUGGUUCUGUUGGUGUCUGCGAUUAUCGCCAUUGUACUUUAUAAGAUAAAACAAAGGUCAAGAUUUGGACCUAGUGUUCCAGUUCCUGCUGAAGAGAUUGAUUGAUUCUGAAGAAGUUCCAUCAUCACACCUGGACCUUUUAUCUUCAGUUAUUCAUUACUCCAGAAGUAAUCUUUUAUAAUUUUCAUCAUUUAUAUAGCAUAAACAUUAGCUAUAUUCUGUUUGUGUUGGCUACAUUUAGCAUCUCAGUGCUUUAUAGCUUGUAGGAUUUUGUUCAUCUUUUUAUUAUGA